rnacentral:rRNA from 1 species
CCUAUGGGGGGCUGCAGUGGGGAAUAUUGCACAAUGGGCGCAAGCCUGAUGCAGCCAUGCCGCGUGUGUGAAGAAGGCCUUCGGGUUGUAAAGCACUUUCAGCGGGGAGGAAGGCGUUAAGGUUAAUAACCUUGGCGAUUGACGUUACCCGCAGAAGAAGCACCGGCUAACUCCGUGCCAGCAGCCGCGGUAAUACGGAGGGUGCAAGCGUUAAUCGGAAUUACUGGGCGUAAAGCGCACGCAGGCGGUCUGUCAAGUCGGAUGUGAAAUCCCCGGGCUCAACCUGGAACUGCAUUCGAAACUGGCAGGCUAGAGUCUUGUAGAGGGGGGUAGAAUUCCAGGUGUAGCGGUGAAAUGCGUAGAGAUCUGGAGGAAUACCGGUGGCGAAGGCGGCCCCCUGGACAAAGACUGACGCUCAGGUGCGAAAGCGUGGGGAGCAAACAGGAUUAGAUACCCGAGUAGUC